rnacentral:rRNA from 1 species
UACGUAGGGGGCAAGCGUUGUCCGGAAUCAUUGGGCGUAAAGAGCGUGUAGGCGGCUCGGUAAGUCCGCUCUGAAAGCCCGGGGCUCAACCCCGGGAGGCGGGCGGAUACUGUCGAGCUAGAGUCCGGAAGAGGCGAGUGGAAUUCCUGGUGUAGCGGUGAAAUGCGCAGACAUCAGGAGGAACACCAAUGGCGAAGGCAGCUCGCUGGGACGGUACUGACGCUGAGACGCGAAAGCGUGGGGAGCAAACAGG